rnacentral:lncRNA from 1 species
UGGGGGUCUUGUGGAUCACAGAGGUCACAUCCAGAGUGACCCCUGCUUCCAGCCUUUGCCUCUCUUCACAUUGGAGAUCAUAAGAUGCAGUCCCCAUCCUCAGCAUCUCCCAGUGAUGGAGCUGGCCUCUGCUCUCCAUCAUGA